rnacentral:rRNA from 1 species
GGACCCGCACAAGCAGUGGAGCAUGUGGUUUAAUUCGAAGAUACGCGCAGAACCUUACCAACGCUUGACAUGUUCGUCGCGAGACUAAGAGAUUAGUUUCUUCAGUUCGGCUGGACGAAACACAGGUGCUGCAUGGCUGUCGUCAGCUCGUGUCGUGAGAUGUUGGGUUAAGUCCCGCAACGAGCGCAACCCCCUACUUUCUAGUUGCCAUCAGGUUAAGCUGGGCACUCUAGUAGGACUGCCUGUGAUAAGCAGGAGGAAGGUUGGGAUGACGUCAAGUCCUCAUGGCCCUUACGUGUUGGGCUACACACGUGCUACAAUGGCAGUGACAAUGAGAUGCUAAACGGCAACGUU